CCUACGGAGGCAGCAGUAGGGAAUAUUGGACAAUGGGCGCAAGCCUGAUCCAGCCAUGCCGCGUGUGUGAAGAAGGCCUUUUGGUUGUAAAGCACUUUAAGCGAGGAGGAGGCUACCGAGAUUAAUACUCUUGGAUAGUGGACGUUACUCGCAGAAUAAGCACCGGCUAACUACGUGCCAGCAGCCGCGGUAAUA
rnacentral:rRNA from 1 species